CGGUGCCUACGGGACCCAGCAGUGGGGAAUAUUGCACAAUGGGGGAAACCCUGAUGCAGCGACGCCGCGUGAGUGAAGAAGUAUCUCGGUACGUAAAGCUCUAUCAGCAGGGAAGAAAAAAAGUCUUUGGCUUUGGACGGUACCUGACUAAGAAGCCCCGGCUAACUACGUGCCAGCAGCCGCGGUAAUACGUAGGGGGCAAGCGUUAUCCGGAUUUACUGGGGGUAAAGGGAGCGUAGACGGCAGCGCAAGUCUGGAGUGAAAUGCCGGGGCUCAACCCCGGAACUGCUUUGGAAACAGUGCAG
rnacentral:rRNA from 1 species